rnacentral:rRNA from 1 species
GAUGAACGCUGGCGGCGUGCCUAAUACAUGCAAGUCGAGCGAACGGACGAGAAGCUUGCUUCUCUGAUGUUAGCGGCGGACGGGUGAGUAACACGUGGAUAACCUACCUAUAAGACUGGGAUAACUUCGGGAAACCGGAGCUAAUACCGGAUAAUAUUUUGAACCGCAUGGUUCAAAAGUGAAAGACGGUCUUGCUGUCACUUAUAGAUGGAUCCGCGCUGCAUUAGCUAGUUGGUAAGGUAACGGCUUGCCAAGGCAACGAUGCAUAGCCGACCUGAGAGGGUGAUCGGCCACACUGGAACUGAGACACGGUCCAGACUCCUACGGGGGGCAGCAGUAGGGAAUCUUCCGCAAUGGGCGAAAGCCUGACGGAGCAACGCCGCGUGAGUGAUGAAGGUCUUCGGAUCGUAAAACUCUGUUAUUAGGGAAGAACAUAUGUGUAAGUAACUGUGCACAUCUUGACGGUACCUAAUCAGAAAGCCACGGCUAACUACGUG